rnacentral:lncRNA from 12 species
AGAGCCCGGCCCGGCCCCUCCGAACCGGGGAGAGCCCGGCACGGCCCCUCCGAGCCGGGAAGAGCCCGGCACGGCCCCUCCGAGCCGGGGUCAGCCCUGCCCUGCCUUCCCUUCCCUCACAGCCCGUGACUCUCCUGCCCGCGGCUGCUCUGCCGGCACUGCCAAAACAUUCCCGUGUUUUGUUCUGCUUUGCCCAAAGCAGGAGCCGGUGCUUCCCGCGAAAGGCUCCCCACUCCUCAGUACUUCACAUUAUUUAUGUAUUUUAACAAAGCAUCAGCGUUCACUGCUUAGGAAUUCCAUCACUUUUCUAUCAGUUUGCGCUCAACCCCCUUUGUGUUGGCUGUGUGUGGUUUCUCCUGCUGGUCAGUCCGCAAGCCCAGCCCUUCCCUGUCUGAGACCCAAAGGAUCCCUUUGGCCUGGGUGGUCAGUGGGUCAGUGGUCAGUGGUCAUUGAGUCAGUGGUCCGUGGGUCAGUGGUCAUUGAGUCAGUGGUCAGUGGUCCGUGGGACAGUGGGUCAGUGAUCAGUGGUCAGUGGGUCAGUGGUCUGUGAAUCAGUGGUCCAUGGGCCAGUGGAUCAGUGGAUCAGUGGUCAGUGGGUCAGUGGUCCCACUGCUGGAAUCGCCUUUCCCCAGGGGCUCAGCCCGGCUGCCUCCACUCCUGGUGGCUCCAGACAGCCUUUUCAUCUUGGCAUUGUCUUCCCUUUGCCUUAAAACUGAAGAUUAGCCAGGCGUGCAAGGUUCACAAUGCGAUUGCUUUAUCAUAACGGUCCUGCUGCAGCUACUGAUUAACAAGUGAAAAAAAC